rnacentral:rRNA from 1 species
UACGUAGGGGGCAAGCGUUGUCCGGAAUUACUGGGCGUAAAGCGCACGUAGGCGGAUCGUUAAGUCGGGGGUGAAAUCCUGGAGCUCAACUCCAGAACUGCCUUCGAUACUGGCGAUCUUGAGUCCGGAAGAGGUGAGUGGAACUCCUAGUGUAGAGGUGGAAUUCGUAGAUAUUAGGAAGAACACCAGUGGCGAAGGCGGCUCACUGGUCCGGUACUGACGCUGAGGUGCGAAAGCGUGGGGAGCAAACAGG